rnacentral:tRNA from 1 species
UUAACUGAAACCAAAAAAGAGGUAUAUUAUUGUUAAUAAUAAAAGUGAACGAAAGAUUCCUGUUAAG